GCCUUUCAUGUCUUCUUCCGUUGUUCGUUCAAAACUAUAGUUCCUAACUGCUGAAAAAUGCAUCUAAUCGACGAUUACCUGCGUGGAAGGUGUGAUCUCCCGACGAAUACAACAAACAACCCCCAACGUGGAAAGUAAUUUCCGUGUAGAAAUCACAGCAUUCUGCAGAGUUAAUCGCGUUGAGAUAUUUCUUAGUUCUUUUUUCCCAUUGUAAUCCUUUGCCCUCUAUUUUGGUGAUUUUUAUGAAUGAUUUAGUUAAUCUUUUUGGUUUUGGUCAAUUUUGUAAAUGACUAAGUGACCAUUUUUUUGGAGUUCUCUAAGUUCUUUCACAACUUCAAUGACAAAAGUAUGUUGUGGUGAUUCCUAAUCGUUCUCUUCCAGAUUUUAACUUUUUGGAUGCUGGAAAUUGGUCGCUACAAGUAUGCAACUAAAGCUCUUGGGAUCUGCCUCUGCCGUUUAAGGGGAACGCCAACAAAUUCAACUUCGUUGGUAAAAGUAUGUUUUUUUAUUUCGAUCAUAUUGGAAGAUCUUAUAUUGUUAAGUUUUGUCAUCAAUAUUC
rnacentral:lncRNA from 1 species